UUUUCCCUUCUGUCUGCCUUUCCGGCCUGUUGACACGGAGACGCGCGGGGCCUUUUCCCUUCUGUCUUCCUUUCCGGCCUCUUGACGUAGUCUACUUUUACUCAGCUCCUGUCAUAGUGCUUGUAAGGGAGUUGAUUGCUAUCUGGUGGGAGAUACAGAGUGGAGGCAGGCAUGGGAAAUACAGUGCGUUAAAGCUGAUUUUCAUCACUGCAGCCAGGAAGAGCCUCCUGAAAGAUAAAUCAGACAGCAACACUUCUCAGCUCAAAACCUCAACAGUUGUAGCUCAUUUGGAGUAACACUCAGAGCCCUCCAGCCGCCUCACGUGCUCUCCCUUCCUCUCCCCUCUUACCUCUCUGCCCCUCCCUGCCCCUCCCUGCCCCAGGCACAGGGCAGGGAAGGCUCAGCUGAUCCCUGCACUGCAGAGUGGCCUGAGGGUGGGCUCCUGCUGCUUGAGAUGUCUCCUGAUGACCCCAUUUUAAACAGCAAGCCUCCCUCCACACAUCUUCCUCCCCCUCCAAUUUAUGUUUCUCCAGAGCACUUCUCAGAUCUUGAUAUGCUGUAAUCAGACUUUUGUUUGUUGUGUAUUAAGCUCUGCAAUAACA
rnacentral:lncRNA from 1 species